rnacentral:lncRNA from 1 species
AUGCUCCUUCAAGUAGGGCAGAAGGACUUUCUGUUUCUUUUUCUUCUCUUUACAGGAGGACUUUUUUAUCACAUGGAUAAAAGAGGAAACAUCAAAAGUCUCCAGGUCACUUUGCCAUUGUACAAAUCUCAAAAUUUCACAAGCCUACCCUCGUCAUUUAUGGAAAAUUUGGGAGAAAAGGAAAGUGGGACGUGUUGGAUGAUUUCCCAGCUUCUAUUUGGAGAGGAAGUCGACAGGUUUUCCACCAUCCAGCCCCCGCCAAUCUGCGCUAGCUGAGAAACACCUGCAGCCAAAGGCUAUGCCCAUUCUCCCUUGUGCAUUUGCAGCUAUCAAAAUAAAUGAGCCAUCUUGGAUGGGAAAAUUAUAUCU